CAGUCGCCGCGGUAAUACGUAGGGUGCGAGCGUUAAUCGGAAUUACUGGGCGUAAAGCGUGCGCAGGCGGUUUUGUAAGACAGGCGUGAAAUCCCCGGGCUCAACCUGGGAAUGGCGCUUGUGACUGCAAAGCUAGAGUGCGGCAGAGGGGGAUGGAAUUCCGCGUGUAGCAGUGAAAUGUGCAGAUAUGCGGAGGAACACCGAUGGCGAAGGCAAUCCCCUGGGCCUGCACUGACGCUCAUGCACGAAAGCGUGGGGAGCAAACAGGAUUAGAUACCCCCGUAGUCCCUGUCUCUUAUAA
rnacentral:rRNA from 1 species